rnacentral:rRNA from 1 species
GACGAACGCUGGCGGCGUGCCUAAUACAUGCAAGUAGAACGCUGAAGGAGGAGCUUGCUUCUCUGGAUGAGUUGCGAACGGGUGAGUAACGCGUAGGUAACCUGCCUGGUAGCGGGGGAUAACUAUUGGAAACGAUAGCUAAUACCGCAUAAUAGUAGAUGUUGCAUGACAUUUACUUAAAAGGUGCAAUUGCAUCACUACCAGAUGGACCUGCGUUGUAUUAGCUAGUUGGUGGGGUAACGGCUCACCAAGGCGACGAUACAUAGCCGACCUGAGAGGGUGAUCGGCCACACUGGGACUGAGACACGGCCCAGACUCCUACGGGAGGCAGCAGUAGGGAAUCUUCGGCAAUGGACGGAAGUCUGACCGAGCAACGCCGCGUGAGUGAAGAAGGUUUCCGGAUCGUAAAGCUCUGUCGUAAGAGAAGAACGAGUGUGAGAGUGGAAAGUUCACACUGUGACGGUAUCUUACCAGAAAGGGACGGCUAACUACGUGC